rnacentral:rRNA from 1 species
AGAGUUUGAUCAUGGCUCAGAUUGAACGCUGGCGGCAUGCCUUACACAUGCAAGUCGAACGGUAACGCGGGGCAACCUGGCGACGAGUGGCGAACGGGUGAGUAAUACAUCGGAACGUGCCCAGUAGUGGGGGAUAGCCCGGCGAAAGCCGGAUUAAUACCGCAUACGUCCUACGGGAGAAAAGCGGGCCUCUACACUAUGCUCGCACUCGAGGAUGAGCCCACGUCCGAUUAGCUAGUUGGUAGGGUAACGGCCUACCAAGGCCACGAUCGGUAGCUGGUCUGAGAGGAUGAUCAGCCACACUGGGACUGAGACACGGCCCAGACUCCUACGGGAGGCAGCAGUGGGGAAUAUUGGACAAUGGGCGCAAGCCUGAUCCAGCAAUGCCGCGUGUGUGAAGAAGGCCUGCGGGUUGUAAAGCACUUUCAGUGGGGAAGAACGGAUACGGGCCAAUACCCCGCAUCACUGACGUUACCCACAGAAGAAGCACCGGCUAACUCCGUG